CACGUAGGGCGCAAGCGUUGUCCGGAAUUAUUGGGCGUAAAGAGCUCGUAGGCGGUCUGUUACGUCUGCUGUGAAAACCCGGGGCUUAACCCUGGGCUUGCAGUGGGUACGGGCAGACUAGAGUGCGGUAGGGGUGACUGGAAUUCCUGGUGUAGCGGUGGAAUGCGCAGAUAUCAGGAGGAACACCGAUGGCGAAGGCAGGUCACUGGGCCGCAACUGACGCUGAGGAGCGAAAGCAUGGGGAGCGAACAGG
rnacentral:rRNA from 1 species